rnacentral:rRNA from 1 species
AUUGAACGCUGGCGGCAGGCCUAACACAUGCAAGUCGAGCGGGGUUUUCGGACCUAGCGGCGGACGGGUGAGUAAUGCGUAGGAAGCUGCCCGAUAGAGGGGGAUACCAGUUGGAAACGACUGUUAAUACCGCAUAAUGUCUACGGACCAAAGUGUGGGACCUUCGGGCCACAUGCUAUCGGAUGCGCCUACGUGGGGUU